GAUGAACGCUAGCGAUAGGCCUAACACAUGCAAGUCGAGGGGCAGCACAUGAGUAGCAAUACGAUGGUGGCGACCGGCGCACGGGUGAGUAACACGUAUGCAACCUACCUCUAACAGGGGGAUAACCCGUUGAAAGACGGACUAAUACCCCAUAAUACAGGGGCUCCGCAUGGAGAUAUUUGUUAAAGAUUUUAUCGGUUAGAGAUGGGCAUGCGUUCCAUUAGCUAGUUGGUGAGGUAACGGCUCACCAAGGCGACGAUGGAUAGGGGAACUGAGAGGUUUAUCCCCCACACUGGAACUGAGACACGGUCCAGACUCCUACGGGAGGCAGCAGUGAGGAAUAUUGGUCAAUGGAGGCAACUCUGAACCAGCCAAGUCGCGUGAAGGAUGAAGGUCUUAUGGAUUGUAAACUUCUUUUGCAGGGGAAUAAAUAGCGGUACGUGUACCGUUUUGCAUGAACCCUGCGAAUAAGGAUCGGCUAACUCCGUGCCAGCAGCCGCGGUAAUACGGAGGAUCCGAGCGUUAUCCGGAUUUAUUGGGUUUAAAGGGUGCGCAGGCGGGAGAUUAAGUCGGCGGUGAAAUUUUGCAGCUCAACUGUAAAAGUGCCUUCGAUACUGGUUUCCUUGAGUGUGGAUGAAGUAGGCGGAAUUUGUGGUGUAGCGGUGAAAUGCUUAGAUAUCACGAGGAACUCCGAUUGCGCAGGCAGCUUACU
rnacentral:rRNA from 1 species